CCUUCGUGUGCACCCACCCCACUGCCCACGCAGAACCAGCAGCAGCAGAGAUGCAAACAGAAGUGCCCUCACCCCGCCGGAGGGAAAACCCCAUUCUCCAGACCACAAGGGACUCCAUCCCCAUCCUCCUCAGCUCCUCAGCAUUCUGCAGGACUCUGUGGCACAGCAAGCUCAUGGUGAUUACACACUUGGUCCCUCAGACCCCGCCAGAAGAAAAAGAGUUCUCCAGGCCCAGGAGCAAGGUGUUGCCCAAAGGAAGAACUCCUCCCUCUGAAAGACUGAAGUAUUGGAGGAAGCAGCCAGUCUGAAGACAAACAUAGUCUGUGAAAACCCCACCAGACACCCGCGUGGGGGCAAGGUGAGACACCGACAUUUAUCUGGGCUCCUUGUCACGCUUUCCAUAAAUAGAAGGUGGCAUCAGAGCAUGAGGCCCCCGCCCUGUUUGCACGCUGAGCUCCUUCAAAAGGCAUUUGCUCCAUAAAUGCCUGUUCCACCUGGUUUCCCUUGGUCAACACAGCUCUUCUAUCUGGGUUUCGUCUGGGAACCGUUUCCACUGUUUUGACGUGUGCACCAGGCACCGGCUGUGACAGACCCAGGGCUGGACCCAGCUCUGCCCAAGUCCUGCUGACCAGGGAGAGUCCAAAAGACACCAAAGAGCUCCUGGAAGCAGAUCAGAAAAAAAAAAAAAAAAAAAAAAAAAAAAAAGCUGUCUGCACCAGAGCCCCUCGGGGAAGGAGCUCCAACUAAGAGAACCCUGCUUUUCCUGCACCACCGCUCUCUCCUCUGUCCCCCUUUCUUUGCCAUGCUGCCUUUAGUCUUUCCCUUACCCGUUUUUC